GGGGUUGUGGCUCAGAGGUAGAGCACUUGCCUAGCAUGCAUAAGACCCUGGGUUCAACCCUCAGCACCA
rnacentral:tRNA from 1 species